rnacentral:rRNA from 1 species
UACGAAGGGGGCUAGCGUUGCUCGGAAUCACUGGGCGUAAAGCGCACGUAGGCGGAUCUUUAAGUCAGGGGUGAAAUCCCAAGGCUCAACCUUGGAACUGCCUUUGAUACUGGGGAUCUCGAGUCCGGAAGAGGUGAGUGGAACUGCGAGUGUAGAGGUGAAAUUCGUAGAUAUCAGGAGGAACACCUAUUGCGAAGGCAGCUCGCUGGGACGUAACUGACGCUGAGACGCGAAAGCGUGGGGAGCAAACAGG